rnacentral:rRNA from 1 species
AAUCAACGCUGGCGGCGCGCUUAACACAUGCAAGUCGAACGAGAAAGCAGGGGCAACUCUGUGAGUACAGUGGCGUACGGGUGAGUAACACGUGGAUGAUCUACCCUGGAGUGGGGAAUAACGCUGGGAAACCGGCGCUAAUACCGCAUAAUCCCGAGAGGGCAAAGGAAGCAAUUUCGCUUCAGGAGGAGUCCGCGGCCGAUUAGCUGGUUGGCAGGGUAAAAGCCUACCAAGGCAACGAUCGGUAGCCGGCCUGAGAGGGCACACGGCCACACUG